GACGAACGCUGGCGGCGUGCUUAACACAUGCAAGUCGAACGGAAAGGCCUAGCUUGCUGGGUACUCGAGUGGCGAACGGGUGAGUAACACGUGGGUGAUCUGCCCCUGACUUUGGGAUAAGCCUGGGAAACUGGGUCUAAUACCGGAUAUUCAUUUUUCCUCGCAUGGGGAUUUGUGGAAAGCUUUUGCGGUUGGGGAUGGGCCCGCGGCCUAUCAGCUUGUUGGUGGGGUAAUGGCCUACCAAGGCGACGACGGGUAGCCGACCUGAGAGGGUGAACGGCCACACUGGGACUGAGACACGGCCCAGACUCCUACGGGAGGCAGCAGUGGGGAAUAUUGCACAAUGGGGGCAAGCCUGAUGCAGCGACGCCGCGUGAGGGAUGACGGCCUUCGGGUUGUAAACCUCUUUCAGCGCCGACGAAGCGCAAGUGACGGUAGGAGCAGAAGAAGCACCGGCCAACUACGUG
rnacentral:rRNA from 1 species